CUGGGCACCCUGUGCCAGGGCCUUACUUCCCUCACGGGAACAAUUUCUUCCUAACAUUUAAUCCAUAAAUAUAUACAUUUAAUACAUACCUAUUUAUACAUAUUUAUGUAUUUAAUAAAUAAAUAUAAACAUUUAAUCCAUAAAUAUGUACAUAUAUCCAUAAAUAUAUUAAUAUAAUAAUAUACCUGACACAGUGCUAGACAAUUAAUAACAUUUGGCUUAUUAUUAGCUUGACUUGUUUAAAAAUACUUAAAAUGUAGACAAUGUGGUUUUAGGUUGGAUGAUUUGGUAAGGACUUUGAAGUAAUGGGGUCUAGACUUUAUGUUUAUGGAUUAAAGCUGUAAGGUGAUUUCUGGUAACAUAUGGAACCAGCCUUCAGAGAUGCACGCGUUGUCAGGCAACUAAAGAAACGUUUAUGAAUCAACUUAGUUCCUUCUUGCAGCCUGGUACUGUUCCUGCUAUCGUCACUUAGUUUUUUUUAGUGUUUCCUAGUGUGUAAUAUGAAGAAAUGGGUUUUUAGCAAUGUUUCAGGGAAAUGGGAGAAAACUCUAUCUGAAUCUCUGUUUCUGUGAUCACUUCUGCAAUCUCAUAACUGUCUUGUGGAAUCAUCACAAAUCAACUUGUGGCCUGCUUUCAGGACUUCUGCCUUGCUGAAUUAUUUAAAAUAAAGUCACAUAAUUUGUUAAAAACUCUAAAAUUAUUUAGAAUAAAAUUCUGAUGACCAUGUGAAUAUUGGUGGGCGUGGGAUAUUUGUCCCUGUUAUCUUUGAUUCAUGUGUUGCUUGGCUCAGUGUUGCAGAAGCAGUGUGUCCUAAGCUUGUGCUUAAAAGGUCACUGCCAAAGGGAGAUGUCAAUGCUGCCUCUCCAUCUCCAGUUUUUGGGGUGCUGGUGUGUCACACCUCUUCUGUUAUGUGGACCUGCCAGAAUAUUUAAACUUAGAGCACUGCAAGAUCUCUUUUCCCCUCUUGUUUUGGGUUCUGUGCCUUAGACCACAGAGGUAAUUCAGGAGAAGACCCCGAGGCUCAGGAUAAACCUUGAUUGAAUUUGGAAGAAGUUCUGGCAUAAAAUCAGAUCAUCUUGAGGCCACAGAAAAGCAGUCCCUAGAAAGCAGUGCCACUUCUGUUGUGCUGAAUUACCCACCAGGCAGGACGUAGUUUCAGUGCAAUGAAAUUACCAUUGAUUCCUAUGAAAACAGUUAGAAUGUAGGUCCCCAUGUCAUGGAGUGAUCUUUCUUUGAUCCAGGGUUGGUGGACAUGUUCAGGUGCCCUCACAAGGAUGAGUUUUAGGGGGAGCUGGUGCAGUCUCUGCCCUGAGCAGUGGGACAGAGAUCUUGGGAGCUGCAGUAGCUUUUAGAGGGAUGAGGUUCAGCCUGGGGGCUCUGCAGGAUGCUAUCUCACAUCAGGGAGGUUCUCUGGCAGAGACCAGAGUUUUGUGAUGAAACACCCAUACUGACCAUCUCCAGAAGGUUUUCAGACCCCCAGGAGUUGGAGAGCUGUGUUGGAGAAGGUCUGUGAACAAAAAAAGCCAAAUAAG
rnacentral:lncRNA from 1 species